CAAAACAAACCCUUAAACAGUUUGUUGACGUGCUUAUAACGCAUUUAAAAGUUUAUUUCUUUUUACAUCUUGUCCGCAAACUACUCUCUCUAGCUCUAGCCAAUAGAGUGAAGUACCAUCUGAAAACUGGUUCCCAUAGAUAGGAAGUUGCAGGGAAUUGGACCUCUGACUUCUGUCUCUUCUGUUACCUCUUUAUCCUCCUCAUACCAAGGAACCACUCUCAUUAUGGAAAAUGGGAAAGAAGCUGAACUUAAGAGUUUUCUCAAAGUCCUUCCGUCUGUAGAAUUUUGCUGCGUCUAUGGCUCAGCUCUUCAUCCAAAUAAUAAUGAUAAGGUGUUUUCUCCUCACAUCUUCUCUGGGGUGAUUUCUUUUAUUUCCUUAUAUAUAUAAAUCUUUAAUAUGAAUGUGUGUAGUCAUCCAUGGUAGAUUAUAUUCUUGGUGUAUCAGAUCCUCGACAAUGGCACUCUGAGGUAAAGAUUAAAGCUUAGAUUCAUGUAUGACACAUCUUCUCUUCUAGGUAUCUCACUCUAUUGUUUUUGUUUAUCACACUGCUCAGAAUCUGAGGUUGAAUGGAGAUCACUAUGCGUCGUGGAUGGUGCACCUUGGUGGGGCCAAAUUGAUAACUGAAGUUGCAGAUGAGAUUGGUGUUGGUGUGCAUUUCAAUCCUUUUGUAAGAUGGAAUGGCAAGAUGCUCAAAUAUGGGGUUGUUAGAAUGCAUGACUUGGUUCAGGACAUACUGAAUUGGAAGAGAUUCUACUUGUGUGGCCGUCUACAAAAACCAGUUCACAUACUUGUGGAUAAUGUGGAUAUUGGAAAUGUAAACUCCGUCAAUCUAAAGGCUGCACUUUCUGCUGCUCUCCUCAUUUUGCCAUCCAAAUUCACUGAGGAAGAUCUAUAUUCCAAAAUAUGUAGUCUAUCAUAUAUGGGCGACUUGCGCAUGCUUUUUGCCGAGGACAAAAAUAAGGUAAAGUUGAAACAGCUUGCCUCAGGGAACUUGAUGGCUUUUGAUAAUGUUGACAUGCUUAGCACUUUUUAUUCAAUGAAAACCUGGGAAUAAUUGCUGUUAGUAGAGUUUUAUUGACUACUUUCAAUGAAGAAUCUGCUUUGACUAGCUUUAGAAAUGCCCUUGAUCACAUGUUGGAUACCAAAGAUAGUCCUUCAUAAUCUCUAUUAUCAGUUUGAACACUUUAAUGGUGAGUUUACGAUCUACAAGGUCCAGGUUGUACAUCCACUCUAAAUUCAUGUGUUUUUUUUUCCUCUUUAAAAUUGUAGUUGGCUAUAUCUUAUUUUAGCUGUGAUAUUGUUAGUUUACGUGCCAUGCGGCUGCAGUUGUCAAAUGACCAUUUUCAUCACUAUCAACCUGCCAUAGGUGAAGAAGAUUGUACAAGGGCAAUUUGGUCUAUUCCAAUCGAUGUAUACACCAUUUCUUCAAGAAUAUGAGGCUAAAGAGUUACUAAGAUUCUCCUCAUUCAAUAGUGAUCAGGCAAAUAUCUCUCAGGAUUGUGGUUUGUCAGUGACUCGUUCUCUAGUUCGUGCUCUUCCUCCACUAGUCAGAAACAAAUUGGGGAUGAAGCUAGGGGAGAAAAAAAUGCUUAAUGAUUCUGGGCGAGUUGUACGUGAAGUCAUGAUUAGUUCAAGAGAAGAGGCUGCAAGAUGCAUGCAGAAGGUCCUAAGGCGUACUGUCAUGGUUUCCAGUUUAAGGCAGGCUGUCUCCGGUCUACUCGCUGUAGGCGGUAUUAAUGCCACUAGAUAUGUUGCUAGUAAAAUGCACAAGGCUUGGAAAUCAUGGACAUGAUAUUCUGCAAAUUUUAAUUCCUUUCUCUUCCUUUUUUUUAUUGAUAUCUGGAAAUCAGUUCAGCUGGACUAAACACACAUAAUAAAAGGAAUCUAGAAACUAGUAGAUAUAUUCCAAAUGCUAUGAGAGCAAGUUUUGCAAUGCUAAUCCUUUU
rnacentral:misc_RNA from 1 species